rnacentral:rRNA from 1 species
ACGGAAGGCAGCAGUGGGGAAUAUUGGACAAUGGGGGAAACCCUGAUCCAGCGACGCCGCGUGAGUGAAGAAGUAUUUCGGUAUGUAAAGCUCUAUCAGCAGGGAAGAUAAUGACGGUACCUGACUAAGAAGCCCCGGCUAACUACGUGCCAGCAGCCGCGGUAAUACGGAGGAUGCGAGCGUUAUCCGGAUUUAUUGGGUUUAAAGGGUGCGCAGGCGGGCCUUUAAGUCAGCGGUGAAAUCCCGUAGCUCAACUACGGAACUGCCGUUGAUACUGGAGGCCUUGAGUCGUGUCGAGGAUGGCGGAAUGCAGCGUGUAGCGGUGAAAUGCUUAGAUAUGCUGCAGAACUCCGAUUGCGAAGGCAGCUGUCCAGAGACGAACUGACGCUGAGGCACGAAAGCAUGGGUAUCAAACAGGAUUAGAUACCCUGGUA